UAAAAGGUUUUCUAGGGUUCCGCAGCAUAUGCUGGUCUGGUCCGAGAGAAAACGCACGAUUAGUGUACACGGCGGGACAAAAGCCCGGGAGGA
rnacentral:sRNA from 1 species